rnacentral:lncRNA from 10 species
UGACACAGAAGUAAAUAGUUGGGCUCACCAAACUUCAUGCUUUGUGGUGACCCUACACCCAGGCAGGACUGUAAAUCCACGCUGUUUGCCUGUGACUGAUUUGGGAUUUGGAUUUCUGAUCUGGCUGAGUGAUGUGUAAAAACCUCAAGUAGUCAACAGCUCCCUAUUGGCUAUGCAUCUGAGGGGCUCAAGAGCAUUGUUUAUUCCAGCAAGUGUCUGGAAUACAUUAUACUGGAUGAAUUGGCUCCUGCUACUCCCGUUUUGGAGAAUAUGAAGAAUUUUAUACUGUGCUAAAAUAAAUGUACUUUGUGCAAAUAACUUUCCUAAAUAAAAAAUUUUGAAUAUGA